GAUGAACGCUGGCGGCGUGCCUAAUACAUGCAAGUCGAGCGGACUGAUUAGAAGCUUGCUCCUCUGAUGUUAGCGGCGGACGGGUGAGUAACACGUGGGUAACCUGCCUUUUAGACUGGGAUAACAUCGGGAAACCGGAGCUAAUACCGGAUGAUAUCUUGAACCGCAUGGUUCAAGAUUGAAAGACGGUCUUGCCGUUACUUAUAGAUGGGGCCGCGCUGCAUUAGAGAAGUGGUAAAGUAACGGCUUAACAAGGCAGCGAUGCAGAGCCCACCUGAGAGGGUGCGGCGACACAGUGACACUGAGACACGCCCGACACCCACAGGGGAGGCAACUGUGGGGACUCCCGCAAUGUGGGAGAAUCCGUGAGGGCAAAGCGGCGCGUGAGUGAAAAAGGUCUUCGGCGUGUAGAACUGUGUUAUUAGGGGAGACAGUAUGUGUCGGUAUAUGUGCAUACCUUGACGGUACCUAAUCAGAAAGCCACGGCUAACUACGUG
rnacentral:rRNA from 1 species